rnacentral:rRNA from 1 species
UACGGGGGGAGCAAGCGUUGUUCGGAUUUACUGGGCGUAAAGGGCGCGUAGGCGGCCACCGCAAGUCGACUGUGAAAUCUCCGGGCUUAACCCCGGAAAGGUCAGCCGAUACUGCGGGGCUAGAGUGCAGAAGGGGCAACUGGGAAUUCUCGGUGUAGCGGUGAAAUGCGUAGAUAUCGAGAGGAACACCUGCGGCGAAGGCGGGUUGCUGGGCUGACACUGACGCUGAGGCGCGAAAGCUAGGGGGAGCGAACGGG